rnacentral:rRNA from 1 species
UACGUAGGGUGCGAGCGUUAAUCGGAAUUACUGGGCGUAAAGCGUGCGCAGGCGGUUUCGUAAGACAGACGUGAAAUCCCCGGGCUCAACCUGGGAACUGCGUUUGUGACUGCGAGGUCUAGAGUACGGCAGGAGGGGGUAGAUUCACGUGUAGCAGUGAAAUGCGUAGAGAUGCGGAGGAAUACCGAUGGCGAAGGCACGCCCCGUGGGUUAGUACUGACGCUCAUGCACGAAAGCGUGGGGAGCAAACAGGAUUAGAUACCCU